GCGCAUCUGGUGUAGUGGUAUCAU
rnacentral:siRNA from 1 species